rnacentral:rRNA from 1 species
UACGUAGGAGACUAGCGUUGUCCGGAAUCAUUGGGCGUAAAGAGCGUGUAGGCGGUCCGGUAAGUCCGCUGUGAAAGUCGGGGGCUCAACCCUCGAAUGCCGGUGGAUACUGUCGGGCUUGAGUACGGAAGAGGCGAGUGGAAUUCCUGGUGUAGCGGUGAAAUGCGCAGAUAUCAGGAGGAACACCAAUUGCGAAGGCAGCUCGCUGGGACGUUACUGACGCUGAGACGCGAAAGCGUGGGGAGCAAACAGG